rnacentral:rRNA from 1 species
AUUGAACGCUGGCGGCAUGCUUUACACAUGCAAGUCGAACGGUAACAGGCCGCAAGGUGCUGACGAGUGGCGAACGGGUGAGUAAUGCAUCGGAACGUGCCCAGUCGUGGGGGAUAACUACUCGAAAGAGUAGCUAAUACCGCAUACGAUCUAUGGAUGAAAGCGGGGGACCGUAAGGCCUCGCGCGAUUGGAGCGGCCGAUGUCCGAUUAGGUAGUUGGUGGGGUAAAGGCUCACCAAGCCAACGAUCUGUAGCUGGUCUGAGAGGACGACCAGCCACACUGGGACUGAGACACGGCCCAGACUCCUACGGGAGGCAGCAGUGGGGAAUUUUGGACAAUGGGCGCAAGCCUGAUCCAGCAAUGCCGCGUGCAGGAAGAAGGCCUUCGGGUUGUAAACUGCUUUUGUACGGAACGAAACGGCUCUGGUUAAUACCCGGGGCUAAUGACGGUACCGGAAGAAUAAGCACCGGCUAACUACGUG